UUAACUAAAAUCUGUAUGGAGUUUGAAGGUUUGCCUACGUUUUUCGCUAGGGACGCUGUUCCAACUACAUACAAAUUGAUUGAUUUA
rnacentral:pre_miRNA from 1 species